CGAAAAAUAUUUUUGUUUAAGAAUUUUAGGAAUAUUUUAGAGUUAUGAUAAGACUUUUGUUUAAUGGAGUUGUGUCUCCAAAGUUAUGUUUUUAAUAUUUAGUUAUUGAAUCUUAGUGUAAAUUUUUUAAAAACUAUUUGGUUUCAAGUUAGUUUUAUUAUUGUGUUUUCGUUUGGGCUGCGCUAUUGAUAUUGUUGCCUUGCGGGUCUUUGGGUUUGCUGCGUGUGGAACUCUGGACAUGUAGCAGGUUCGAGGUGUUAUAGAGAUGGUAUAAGAGCAGUGGCCCCUCGCAGUGUGUCGGCUAGGAAACCCACAUUUCCUGGGGAGUGAUUUUGGGAUUUAAUUGUGGGUUGUGAUUUGACUAGACUUAAGAAAUAG
rnacentral:lncRNA from 1 species